rnacentral:rRNA from 1 species
CAUAAUCAUUAGUUUCUUAAUUGGGAACUUGUAUGAAUGGUUUAACAAAAGAAGUUCUGUCUCUUAUUUAAAGAUUGAAUUUAACUUUUAAGUGAAAAGGCUUAAAUUUUUUAAGGGGACGAUAAGACCCUAUAAAGUUUUAUAACAAAACAAUAUUUUUAAAAAUAAAAUAUAAAAAUAAGAUUUUGUUUUUUUAUUUUAUUGGGGCGAUACAGAUAAAAGUAAAAUUAACUGUCAGAUUUAUAGACAUAUAUUUAUGAAAUAUAAAAUGAUCCUAAUUUUAGAUUAAAAGAUAAAGUUACUUUAGGGAUAACAGCGUUAUUUCUUUUAAGAGUUCUUAUUGAAAAAGAAGUUUGCGACCUCGAUGUUGAAUUAAAAUAUCUUUACAGUGUAGGCGUUGUAAGAAG